GGCCCGGAAAAUUUAGCUGCGUGUAGGCUAUUCGUACCCACCAGCGAGGAAUAGUUAACUGUGUCCACGGCACAUUAAGCUCCGCUGAUCGGGAUCGCUCUUCGCUCGCUCUCCCACCCCGCCGCCGGUCGCCGACCUGGACCCCGUUCCGUCGCUCGUGCGGCGCACGUGCUCAACUCCGUGACCAUUUGGACACCAAGAAACCAAUCAAGUUAUACCUCCCCUGAGACCAAGUCAGACGGUAACGAGGAUGGCGUAUGUCCUCAUCGAGAUGCGCCAGGGCACACGCGUGUUCCCGGUGUUACAAUGCGUCAUGCGGUUGGUCCUGGGAGUGAGAGCCCCCAAAAGUUCCUGACGCCGUUUGUUUAAAGGACCUAUGUUCCAGGCAAUAGUUUGCACUGAAACCGAGGUAACAUCGUUCGGUCUAAAGUGCUGGUGCACCCAGUCCAAGUUCUUACCAACAGGCCCGGUACAAGCUCGCGAAGUGUCUCUUUCGUUAGUUCCACUAAUACGAACGUGUCCUCCUUCGUUCUGCGGAUCCGGUGUUGAAACAACCCUGUCUUGUCUAAGACGAACCGGAAUAACCACUCCCUUGACCUUAACGUCGUUUCCAAGAUUUCAGAUACCCCUAGUCAGAAUUCCUACGGGCACACCUUCAACUUUUCUAAUAACCUUCUCCGUCACCCAAACAACGGCAACUUUAAGGUAAAUGUGGAGCACGUUUCGCACAUGAGCUUGACAGUGAACUUCUUCGAGCGGUCGAUCCCGUAUUGAUAUAUCCUAGACUCGUGAAUGAGAAUCCCGAUGAAGCACUCCCACUUCCACACCGUCGAGCUCAAGAGCUUUCGGAACCACGACUAGGUUUGUUGUAAGCAUGGGUCCAAUAUUCUUACCAACCACUUUCGUGUCUUCGACAACCACGACCCCAACCACCCCCUUCGUCACCGGUCUUCUACGGAUGUGAACUUCUUAUGCCAUGAUUAAACUGUUUCGACCGUCUUCUCCCAUUUGAUCUGGGUCAACAACCGUCUGUCCUAGUUUAACUCGCACAUUGAGUUUAAAACCCGUCCGCAUGUUUCUUGUUGGGUACGAAUUAACCUCUCGGACCACAGCCGUUCUGACGAUAACGUCUCCCCGAACGUGUUGCAUAAACAUUACCCCUACAAGGCCUUUGUUAACUUCCUUUCUUCCAAUAAUGGGAACUGUACCCCGAGGAACAACGACCAUGGUUCAUGGCACCUCUCAAACUUCUUUCCGACUUCUUCGAAUACCUUCUUUAAUUCGUUUUACUACUAUAAUAUGAGAAAUAACUACUUCACGUGUGCAACUAGCCUCGUCCACGUCGACUUCCACGUUAACUACGACGAUUGUAGAAUUUUGGUCGAGAACGUUCUCCACUUGACGUCACGUAACCACGGUGUUGUGAGCUACUCAUGUCCUUUGUAUAGCUCUUUCUAGGACGAAACCUCGCUUCCAAAGUUGGUCAGUUCCAUGGUCUCGGGUGACAACUUCUUAGUUAUGUUUAGAAUUCUCCUGAAGCACUCUCUAUACUUGAAGUAGUAUUCGACGCUAUGUGUCUACUACGAAAUCAACGGCGCCGCGUCAAUAGUAUAGUCAUAUAGUCACUGGCGAAGGACGGACUGUUCCGAUAACUGAACUAACUACUUCGCCCCAGGGCACAAUCCGAGUCCGUACGUGUCGAUGGACUACUCCGGUUCCUCGACCUGUUUUUUGAAGCGGUUUAUUGUUUCCUGUUCUUACUCCGACACGCACCGGUUCUAAAACUCUUCCGACCCCUUAAUUCUCUGCUCCUUUACCUCGACUUCCGGGUUUAAUGUCGGUAAUAACUGUUCUCGUUCCUUUACCAAUUUCGUCUCUGACUUAGGCCGCUUCAACCAGGAGAACAGUGGCUCCGUCUAUAAGUCGUGUAGCAGAGUAGUACCUGACCAUAUGGACACCUCUUUCAGAGUAGACUACUCAGACUGGCGGAGGAAUUCUACCUUCUCUGUGAGGUAUGCGCGUAGUAACCCGUCCUACUUCGACAGUUUCGAUAAUCGGCACGAUAGGCGGCACGAGCACAACCGGAGUUCUUAGGUUUAGCUGGGUAACGAUCGAAGUAUAAGAGACCUGGUUGACCACAACCAUUUAGUCUUAAUCGUUUCCGAGACCGUAGGAUGAUGAAACCGAGUCUCCUUCGGUACUAGUCUAAUCUAUACUCACUCAAGUACCUCUCUGUAUGUCACAGGUUUGAGUAGCCUAGUGGAGGUCCAAUACAACCGAUGUGACUUCCUCCAGUUGAUUGUCUUCGUCAGGCGGCGGCAGGUAUGUGUCAACAAGAGAAACUACUCUAACUUUUCCGUGUAGGUCUACAGAAGUUGUACUACGAAGUCUAGAAUCUUCUACCCUCCGACUGUCUAUCGUUCCCUGCCUGUCAACUAAAGUUCUUGUGUGACAACUAGUACUGUAGCUUACAGCCUUCGUCACAGUAGCUCUUCCCUCCGGCCUUCUAACCCAAACUGGAACUGAGACUACUCUUUCUAUGGUCAAUAUUGUCCUAGUUCUCGAACCACUGGCUCCUCAACUUCGUCAUAAAGGCCGGACUCAAGAACUUGUCUAACCUACUCUACUAACACAAGGCCGUCGACUGUUUUGACCUCCACUUUCUCUAACGACUAUAAUACGAGUUCCUCCACAAACUGUCCGAGUUCCGUUUCCUUUAGCUGGAGGUCCAUUGCCUCUUCAAGGCCCUAUCCCAACACCUACUUCCAAUGUUGGGCUCGAUGCCACGGUCCGGAGACGCUGCGCGGUAAUACUCCGAAAACCUUCUGUCAGACCGCCUUUUCUACGACCGACCGCUCCAGUUCCUUCCACUAAGACGAUAACAACUACACCUAAGCCUACCAUUCCACCAUCAAGAGUUGUCGCCCCCACCAUAACGUCUCGGCGACCUCGGACGAGACUCACGGAUCAACCCAUAUGGUAGAAAAAUAAAGCAAUAGAGUCGAACCCCAGGACCACUACCAUGGAUCUAAUUAUAGUGACGGGAAAGUCAAUACACAAGAGGAGAAGGAAAAAACAGAGAGAAGAAAGUGAGAGAACUUCAAGCUUCAAACUUCACUCCGUGAUCUUUAACAAUAACAUUUGCUUUGUUUGUAUCUACGUACAUGCUCGUUCGACAUACGGUCAUAUAGAAAACUCAAAAGAAAAAAGAAAAACUCUCUCAUCAACGAGACAAAGACUUCUUGUCAACUUCCUAAGUAGAUGGACGUCAAUGAACGAAACAUGCAUGACAUAAAAUCCAUCGCUGAUCUCUCGAUUAACUCCGGCACGUAAAGGGUCAGAUGGUUUUAUUUAGUAGAGGCACUUUGCUUUUCGUUCUCUAUUAAUACUUCGUCGAAGGACAGUUUUGUCGACCGGACACUUCGUCCCUUACCAGUAGGACCUUCGUCCCCACAAACGAGUAGUUAGGCUUUCGCGGCACCAAAUUAGCGAGCGAGAGACAGCGGAUCUUCGUAGUCAUACCUGAACGUGCAGGUGGGAUUGGUAUGUUUAAAUCGGUCGUUCGCUUUAAAUAGGAGACUAUAAAAGAGAAGCAAGGAGAAAGGAGAGAUGUAUAUGCUGGGAAGUGCCAAGACAUGGGCUCUUGUGAUGACGAAGUCAGCACAGUCUAGUUAUUCUAGUACCCGCAGAACCUAGUGGAGAGGCUAAACACGUCGUACUGUCUGUGUUUCCGUCGGGAGUUCGAGUCCUUCUCCGCCGGCUACGUCUGCCAUUUGUAGUUCCACUUCUACCUGACGCUCCCGACGCUCUCCUCCCAGUUCUUGCGGCAGUUCAGCUAAGCCCCACACUGCCGGCACAGUCACUUGGGGUUCUACUCGUUCCACUGCCACUGCCCCAAGCAACUCGGCUCGUUCCACGACCGCGCCCACUUCUCGUGGCCCUUCCACCGGCUCUACACCGGGAUGCACGGCAUGAGCGAGUGGUGGAUGGGGAUACAGCCGCCGCGGAUGCUGUUCUUCCGCGGCCGCCCGAAGCAGGCGCCGCGCGGCGUCCGGUACCGGCUGGGGCCCCGCGGCCUCCAGGCCAUGUACUUGUACAAGUUGCUGCUCCUGCAGUUGAGGACGCGGUAGUACACUACUACGGCUGGGUAGAACUGCUAGAGGUGGGAUCGGUCGGCCGGUCGGUGGGUCUGUGAUGCGCCGGAUAUUCUAUGGUAGCGUCAGCGUCUUAUCCGAGAGGUUCCUAACUAAGAUGUAGGUCGGUGCAUUAUCAUUUAGAUGCUCACAUGCUAAAACACAGCGAACAAGUACAGUCUACAUUAAUAUUAAAGUACCAUUUCCCAUUUCAUUAUAGUGCUCAAAAAGAAGAAGAAAACUCUUACUUCAUUAUACUUGAGCAACGGUUAAAGUACCGUUUCCCAUUUUAUAAUGAUACUAAAAAAAAACGCUUACUUCAUUAUACACGAGCAACGAUUUCAACCUCUCUAAUUGAGAACUAACUUACGGAACCCAGCCAAUGUUCCAAUAUUGUAUAUGUCCUCUCUCGGGAACUCUCAGCCGUGCGUCCGGUCCCGCACGCCAAUGCUUAGGAUGUAACAUCCGAUAUGUGUACACAUGUACUGAUAUAUCUUUUUGACAGAUUGGGGGACCUAGCCUUGAGUACCAUGUGGACACUACCGU
rnacentral:rRNA from 1 species